rnacentral:rRNA from 1 species
AGGCGACCAGUGUCGGGCGGCGUGUCGUGGGUGUUUGUGUGCGUGCGUUUCACUCUCUCUCACGGGAGAGUGGCGCGCGUGCGCUCGCUCGCGUUCGUCGUCGACAGGCACGCGCUUCUGAGCCCUGGAUCGUACACUCCAAGUCCACCGCUUAUGAUUGAAACUCUUCUUAGAGGGAUUCACGGCUCUGAAGCCGUAAGAGACUGAGAGCAAUAACAGGUCUGUGAUGCCCUUAGAUGUUCUGGGCCGCACGCGCGCUACAAUGCCGGGCACAGCAGGUUCUUUUCCUACUCCGAGAGGAGCGGGUAACCCUGUGAAAGCCCCUCUUGUUUGACAGUUUGAAUGUCGUUGCAUUCCCCUCUUCGGAGGGUGUGCAUCGGCUAAGGCGUGAUUGGGCCUGGGUCUUGCAAUUUUUUCCCACUAACGAGGAAUGCCUAGUAGCGGCGAGUCACUGAGCUCGCCGUGACUCAGUCCCUGCCCUUUGUACACACCGCCCGUCGCUACUACCGAUUGA